AUGGCCAGGCUUGCUUCCUCCUUCCUGCUGCUGAUUGUCCCUGCAUAUGUCCUGUCCCAGGUUACCCUGAGGGAGUCUGGCCCUGGGCUGUUGCAGCCCUCCCAGACUCUCAGUCUGACCUGCUCUUUCUCUGGGUUUUCACUGAGCACUUCUGGUAUAGGUGUGAACUGGAUCUGUCAGCCCUCAGGGAAGGGUCUGGAGUGGAUUGCAAACAUUUGGUGGGAUGAUACUAAGUUCUACAACCCAACCCUGAAGAGCCGGCUCACAGUCUCCAAGGACACCUCCAACAACCAGGUAUUCCUUAAGAUCACCAGUGUGGACACUGCAGAUACUGCCACAUACUACUGUGCUCGAUAG